rnacentral:tRNA from 1 species
AAGGCACUAGUAAAACGGACAUUACACUACCUUGUCAAGAUAGUAUCGUGGGUUAAACCCCCGCGUGCCUUA